AACUCAGCCCAUCUGCACCGUUGGCUCCAUUUGUUGCCAAGCAAUCACAACCGUUUAUUUUCUCCAGAUUCCACUAUAUAAAACGAUCAUAACAUUUUUCCCUCGUUCAUUCCAUCGUUGCCGCGUAAAUCGGAAUCGGCGCAUUCGCUUUAACCUAGCAAAUUUCUCCGUCCAAACCGUCCUUUGAUUCAGUCAAAGGCAAAUUUUCGGUUCAUAUCGCAUGGAUCGAACCUUGAUCUGGUUUUUAGGAUGGUUAAUUGGAGAUUCUGUCGAUGUUUCGGUCUCCGUUUUGAUGGAGGCCAGUGGAAUUGCUACAUCUGCAAGGAACCGUUAUUCAAUCUGGUCGUGAAUCUGAUAAGAUGCGCGAGUUUUUGUUUCGAAACAGAGCAAUUGAAGCGAGAUUGGUUGUAUAAUUUUGGUUGUAUUCAAUCCUUUAGGAGAUUACCUGUUAUAUCGAUUGUGGAUUUGAUUGGUUGAGUUGAAGGUUAUGGUUGAGAGAGAUGUGUGAGGUAUACACCAAAGGUACUUGUUCUGUUUGUUAGUUUGUUCUAUUGCUUGUUAAUGGACCUUUGCCAUGUCAGGUGCGCUUGCAUGGCAGGUCAGAAAAACCUCAAUAAAAUUACGACUCUUUUUUC